GAUGAACGCUGGCGGCGUGCCUAAUACAUGCAAGUCGAGCGAACAGAUAAGGAGCUUGCUCCUUUGACGUUAGCGGCGGACGGGUGAGUAACACGUGGGUAACCUACCUAUAAGACUGGGAUAACUUCGGGAAACCGGAGCUAAUACCGGAUAACAUUUGGAACCGCAUGGUUCUAAAGUGAAAGAUGGUUUUGCUAUCACUUAUAGAUGGACCCGCGCCGUAUUAGCUAGUUGGUAAGGUAACGGCUUACCAAGGCGACGAUACGUAGCCGACCUGAGAGGGUGAUCGGCCACACUGGAACUGAGACGCGGUCCAGACUCCUACGGGAGGCAGCAGUAGGGAAUCUUCCGCAAUGGGCGAAAGCCUGACGGAGCAACGCCGCGUGAGUGAUGAAGGGUUUCGGCUCGUAAAACUCUGUUAUUAGGGAAGAACAAAUGUGUAAGUAACUGUGCACGUCUUGACGGUACCUAAUCAGAAAGCCACGGCUAACUACGUG
rnacentral:rRNA from 1 species